UACGGAGGGUGCAAGCGUUAUCCGGAUUCACUGGGUUUAAAGGGUGCGUAGGCGGGUAUAUAAGUCAGGGGUGAAAGCUCCGGGCUUAACUUGGAAAUUGCCAUUGAUACUGUAUAUCUUGAAUAUCGUAGAGGUUAGCGGAAUGUUGCAUGUAGCGGUGAAAUGCUUAGAUAUGUUACAGAACACCAAUUGCGAAGGCAGCUAACUAUGCGAUGAUUGACGCUGAGGCACGAAAGCGUGGGGAGCAAACAGG
rnacentral:rRNA from 1 species